rnacentral:rRNA from 1 species
AGCAGCCGCGGUAAUUCCAGCUCCAAUAGCGUAUAUUAAAGUUGUUGCAGUUAAAAAGCUCGUAGUUGAAUUUCGGGAUCAAUAUGUCGGUCGUGCCAUCGGUACGUACUGGUAUCAUUGGUCUCUCCUUUCUGACGAACCAUGAUGUCAUUAAUUUGGUGUUAUGGGGAGUUAGGACUGUUACUUUGAAAAAAUUAGAGUGUUUAAAGCAGGCAUUAGCUUGAAUACAUUAGCAUGGAAUAAUGAAAUAGGACGUUCGAACCUAUUUUGUUGGUUUCUAGGAUCAACGUAAUGAUUAAUAGGGAUAGUUGGGGGCAUUAGUAUUCAAUUGUCAGAGGUGAAAUUCUUGGAUUUAUUGAAGACUAACUACUGCGAAAGCAUUUGCCAAGGAUGUUUUCAUUAAUCAAGAACGAAAGUUAGGGGAUCGAAGACGAUCAGAUACCGUCGUAGUCUUAACCAUAACUAAUGCCGACUAGGGAUCGGAUGAUGUUAAUUUUUUAAUGUACUCAUUCGGCGUACC